rnacentral:lncRNA from 10 species
UGACACUUCAAUAAGUUCAUUUUUUGUUCAUUUUUCAUUAAAUCUUUUCGAUAGCUCUGUAAAGUAAAUAUCUUACAAAGCUUAUCAUCAUCUGCUUUCCAGUGGAAGGAAACUGAACAGAAGGAUUGUGAGUCUUCUAUGAUGCAUCAUUAAGUGAAUGAGAUACUACCAAAUUUCUUAAAUUGUAUUACAGGAUUCUGUCUGCACCAUCUUUAUGAAAUUAGUACAACUAGGAAAUCACAAAAUUAAAACUCACCAAUUCACUACUAUCCUAGUCAUCACAUUUCUAGCCUCUUAUUUUUCUUUCUUAUUUUGUUUAUUUAUUAUUAUUAUACUUUAAGUUUUAGGGUACAUGUGCACAAUGUGCAGGUUAGUUACAUAUGUAUACAUGUGCCAUGCUGGUGCGCUGCACCCUAGCCUCUUAUUUUUCAAUAAUGGAUACUACAAACACUAUUUUGGGAAGUUCUAACCUAAUGUAGUUUUAGCUGAUUUCAAAGUGAGUUCAUGUAGCCUGACAUAUAUUUCUAUUGCUUGUUUCAAGCAGGCAUUGCCUUUAUUUCAGUUCAUGAUUUCUGUUUUAAUGCUAAAGUAAUAAAGGCAAAACUCUGGUAAGGAGGUAUAUGAAACUCCUUUGGUCAGUAUUUCCAAAUACAUCUGUUCUGUUAUAAUCCAUUAUUGUCUUCUUGAUAAAUGAAGUGGAAACUCUUAAGUUGGUGAAUUAGUACAAAGGAGACAUUUUGCUUUCUAUUUUAAAGCUGUAAGAAGGAAAGUGUUACAUGUAAACAGUGGAUAUAAUCUCUAGUUAAUCCCCCCAAAAGUAAGUUUUUUUCUUUCUUUUAUUUUUUUUGUUUAUAAAAAUAAAAUGCAAGACCAGCCUAUGGGCUCAUAGAAGUAUGAGUCUUCUUACUGAAAGGCUGUGUGAGAAGAAUAUAUUUACAGGAGAGAAUGACAAAGAGAAAUGCAGGGAAUGAGAGUAUCAGAGAAGAGUUCCUAAGGGACAGAAUUACCUAGAAUUUUGGAAACUAAAAACAGGAGAAGCUAAUGAAUCAUGCCCACAGCAAAUCCACGUGUAAAUGAUGGGGAUUAGUGAAGAGCGGGUUUGAAUUCUGAAAUGCUGCCCCAUACAAGUUAAUCAUCUUUACCAUUAAUAUCCUAGCUUCUAUUUUUCAGCACCUAAUGACACAAAUUAAGCCCUGUUCAUUUAUUCAUUCACGUAUUGAUUCGCUCAUUCAUCCAUUUAUUAUUUCAACAAAUAAUUUAUUACAUGUCUACCAAGCAGAAUCUGCCUCCCAACCCCCAAUCUGUGGUUCCAGAGAGACACUUAAUAACGUGCUUCACACUGAUUCAGUUGACUCCCAGCUCUCUCAUUUCUGUCAGCAAAUGAAGCUGGAAAACUGCACAUGUUCUUGAAGCUCUCGGCUCCAGGCACAACCCUGUACAUCAAACACACCAUGAAGAACGAGAACAGCUGGUGCACUGAGAAUCUCACAGGACUCCAUUGCCGUUAAGCUGGUUCAAAUAAAAAUCCUUUCAGGAUCCCUUCAUCAAGCUUCAGGUUGGCUUGAGCUUUCUCAGCUCUUUCUUAUCACCUUCCCAGGAGAACUGCUUCUCCUUAAUGUGUUUGAGUGAUUAUUUCCUUUCUAGCUACAAGAUAGACUCUUUUGGACCCCCUAGGACCUGGAUAAUUUACAUUAAGAUAUACAAUUUCAUUACUCCCAGGUCCAAACUUGUGUUGCUGCCAUUUAAAUUUUCUUACUGUUAAUCACAUCAAUCCUGUGUGACAGAUCCAGAAUUUUCUUAAAAUAGAUGUUCUAAGCAAGUAAUAAGCCUCUCAUCAAGGGCCAUUUGGGACUCUUCAGUUUGGCUCCUCUCUCAUCCACAUAUCGUGUGUUUUUCUAAAAGUUCUGUAUCAUAUUGAUUUUUUUCUGAUAUUUAUUAUGCAGAAUCAUUCAAUCAGAUCUAUCGGCUGAGCUUUAAAACUCCGAACCAAUUCACUUAAUUAGUACACGUGACAAACUUUUAUUAAGACCUUUCUUUUUGCCAGACAUCAUAGUGGAUGCUGGGGUAUGGAAACCAAUGAAACAAAAUAUCUACUGUCUAGAAGCUUAAUGUUUAGUAAACAGCAGAAAAACCAAGUGAGCGAAGUAUCUAUGCACUGGGAUACUUCUUCAGGGACAAGACUAAUUUGGCUACCCUUCUUAUAUGUUUUAUGUUUCAAUAGUUUCGUUUUAAUUUUAAAAAUUAAGAUGUAAUUUAAACACUGUAAAGUUCUCCUUUUUUAGUGUAUACUUCCUCAAAGUUUGGCAAAUAUAUACAUUUCUGUAACCACCACCACCACAAUGAAGAUAUUUAGAAAAGUGCCGUCACCCCCAAUUCUCCUAUUUCUUUUUGGUCAAACUAUGCACGUCCUGCUCCCUCCAACCCCCACAGUCCCUGGCAACAACUGUAUAAUUUCUGCCCUUAUAGCGUCACCUUUUUCAGACUGUCAUAUAGUAUGGAAUUAUAUAGUAUGUUGCCUCUUGCAUCUGGACUUUUUCACUUAGUAAAAUGCAUAGAUAUUUUUCCAUAGUGCCAUGUAUACCAGUGGUUCUUUCUUUUUUGUUAACUAGUACUUAAUUAUUUAGAUACCACAGGUUCUUUAUUUUCCA